AGAGAAGGAAGAGUUUGACAGACAAAGGCCCAGGAGAGACAAGGAGUUCAGGCAGGGAAAUGGAGGCUGGGGUUUGAGUGCAUACCCCAAUCAAUUCCAGACACGAUGUUUGAUCUCCACACAGGAAAGAGGUAUCGCAUUGCUGAGCACAGAGCGGGUGCUGUGGAGGUUCAGGAGACCUCUCAGAGGCUGGGCCCUGUUACUGGCAGGUGAUCUGAGCAUGGUGAGCCUGCUGCCUGAAGGUGACUUGGACAUCAUUGACACCGGGUUGUGGAGAGCAUCGUGACUUGCCUUUGCAAGAGAUUCGCUCUCCUAAUCUUGUUUUGCCCAGGAUGCCACUUGAGUUUGCAUUUCCCGCACACACACAGCCCUUCUCUUAAUACAGUGUGGGUGAGCUGCAGAUAAGCAAUGUGUAAGGAGACACCGUUGGGACUAAACACUUUCCAGAAUAAUCUACCAUAGGAAAUUAAAGGAGGAACUUAUUCCACUGCUACCCUUAUUUUGCAGGAUGGGAAUCUGGGGUACAAUAUAAUUUUAUGCCCAUUCCAGUUCAAAGCUCUUCCUCAGAGUUUUUUUUUUUUCCAAAGGAAAACUGGAAACCAUGUUUUUCUUGGUCUGUAUGUCCUCAAAGGACCGACAUAACUGACACAGCAUGAGGGGCAGCUGCCAAAGGCACAGUAUUGGCACCAGUGGAGGAUGUCCAGGUUCUUGGCAUCUUGAACAAAGAAUAGGACAAAAUGUGCAAACAAAGCAAGGAAGGAAUGAAUGG
rnacentral:lncRNA from 1 species